rnacentral:rRNA from 1 species
UGGGGAAUUUUGUACAAUGGGGGAAACCCUGAUCCAGCCAUCCCGCGUGUGCGAUGAAGGCCUUCGGUUUGUAAAGCACUUUUGGCAGGAAAGAAACGUCAUGGGUUAAUACCCCGUGAAACUGACGGUACCUGCAGAAUAAGCACCGGCUAACUACGUGCCAGCAGCCGCGGUAAUACGUAGGGUGCAAGCGUUAAUCGGAAUUACUGGGCGUAAAGCGUGCGCAGGCGGUUCGGAAAGAAAGAUGUGAAAUCCCAGAGCUAAACUUUGGAACUGCAUUUUUAACUACCGGGCUAGAGUGUGUCAGAGGGAGGUGGAAUUCCGCGUGUAGCAGUGAAAUGCGUAGGUAUGCGGAGGAACACCGAUGGCGAAGGCAGCCUCCUGGGAUAACACUGACGCUCAUGAACGAAAGCGUGGGGAGCAAACAGG